GAUUGGCCGGGCCCGCGCCCGGGGAGCCCCGCAUUCUGCAGUGUCCGAAAGAUUCGAAACUCCAAAAGCUCCACUGCGUGCCUCUGGGAGGGGAGGGGGCGCGCCAGGAAAGGAGUGGAAAAAAGUGGGCGAGGAGGAGCGUUGAAAAUUUCCUGACAAGUAGUUUCCGUGCGCCCGAGAGCGUGUGAAUUGCUCCUAAUUACCGUGUCCGGUGCGCCUCUCUGCGUAGACUUGUGUAACCUCUCGGCUUCUGGGGCGCCGGCUCGGCUGCACCGCUCUUACUGGCCUGGGGCGCUUGGCAAAGCCGAGCUUCCCAAGUGGCUCUGGAGCCCUGAGGCGGGAUGGGGGGCAGAUUCUCUUAAACUCAGGACGCGCAUCGGUCUGUCCGACCUUCCCGGCAAGAGACAAAGUCACUGCUGGGAGGCCCCCUCGGACAGUUUUCAGUUUUAACUUUCGCCUUAUUCUCGUCUUGUCUUGAUGUCACGGCCCUGAGGAACAGCUCGUUCUGCAGAAGAGAAUAAAGAAAAUUCGUUUAAAUAAUGAGGAAAA